GCUCUUUAUCUAUCACCACUUCGUCCUUAAAGUUAUGGACAACUAUGAGAAGCAGAUCCACGAGUGGAAGAAGAAGUGGGAAAUCAACAAGGUCCCAAAGUCGAUAAACAACACGGUCUGGACGGAGUUGUGUGCGCAUUGGGGUAAGGAAGAGACGAAAAACUUCUUCCACCAACUCCAUCAACCGCAGGAGCGACCGUAAAGGGAAUGGCGUCUUCAAGCAUAACUUGGGUGGCUCAAUCUAUUGCAUUUCUGGGGGAUCGCACGAUAAGCGGAAGAAAAUGAUGGCGAGCCGGUUGAUGAUCUCGCCCUAAUGAAGAGGGCGUAUACCAACAAGAAGACCGGUCAGAUUGAUGACGGUCUUGUGAGGG